rnacentral:rRNA from 1 species
AGUGAACGCUGGCGGUAGGCCUAACACAUGCAAGUCGAACGGCAGCACAGUAAGAGCUUGCUCUUACGGGUGGCGAGUGGCGGACGGGUGAGGAAUACAUCGGAAUCUACUUUUUCGUGGGGGAUAACGUAGGGAAACUUAAGCUAAUACCGCAUACGACCUACGGGUGAAAGCAGGGGAUCUUCGGACCUUGCGCGAUUGAAUGAGCCGAUGUUGGAUUAGAUAGUUGGCGGGGUAAAGGCCCACCAAGUCGGCGAUCCGUAGCUGGUCUGAGAGGAUGAUCAGCCGCACUGGAACUGAGACACGGACCAUACGCCUACGGUAGGGAGCAGUGUGGUAUAUGGGACAAUAGUCGCGAGCCUUGUCCAACCAGACCGCGUGUGUUAAGAAGGCCUUCGGGUUGUAAAGCCCGUUUGUUGGGUAAGAAACGCAUCAGGCUAAUACCCCGCUUUUCUGACGGUACCCGAAAAAGAAGCACCGGCUAACUUCGUG